UACGGGGGGAGCAAGCGUUGUUCGGAUUUACUGGGCGUAAAGGGCGCGUAGGCGGCCCGGUCAGUCGGCGCUCUAAGUGCGGGGCUCAACCCCGUGAUGGCGCCGGGACGGCCGGGCUGGGGCGCGGCAGAGGGAGACGGAAUGCCGGGUGUAGUGGUGAAAUGCGUAGAGAUCCGGCGGAACACCGGUGGCGAAGGCGGUCUCCUGGGCCGAGGGCCGACGCUGAGGCGCGAGAGCGUGGGGAGCGAACCGG
rnacentral:rRNA from 1 species